GCUUUUAUAGCUAAUUACAUAAUAUUUGAUUUUUUCUUCUUCUUUUUUUUGCUUUUUCUGUCAUUUCCAUAUUUUGUUCUCUGUUCCCUUUUUUUUUUCUUCUUUGUAAGUAUCCAUGGCAAGGUCAACGAUGAUAGGGAGUCGCACCCUUGCCAUUUCAGUGAAAAGAUGGCAGGAGGCAGUCCUCGGGUGAUUUAUCCGCUGACAUGGCCAGGAGUAGCGGGGCUUAAGGGAUAGAGGUGGCUAGGGUUUCUAUUUAGUUUUUUAGGUUUUGGGCUUUGGGCUUUUAGGGUUUUUAGGUUAGCAGAUUUGGGUUAGGGUGAAUUUGGCUUGUAAUUUGGACCAAUAUUUUUUUGUCAAUAGACUUAAUAUUAAUGGACCUUUUUAUUUUAUUUAUUUAUUUUUGGUUUUAUUUUGGGCCGAAUGAAUUUAGGCCACUACAACCUAGAUCCGUUAAUUGAUUUACUUACUUGUGACAUUCAUUUUGUGAUGUACCUAAAUCUUGAGUAUGUGAAUGACC
rnacentral:lncRNA from 1 species